rnacentral:lncRNA from 1 species
AGAUGAUGGCAGAAGAGGAGGUGACAUGAUUGACUGUCUGGAGACAGUGGGUGACCACAAGGAAACAGUGAUUUCUGGACAAGAGCGGGUCAGUUGCACAGAUGACAGCGUGCACACAGACUCUACACUCAAGCUCAAGGCAGACAAAAUCCCAGUGUGGACAGAGGAGGUUAUUUCAUCGCGGCAGCAGAAAUGAAACUAAUACAGUGAGGCAAAGGGAGAAGACCAGACACAGCAAAGGACCAAUCUGUGAAAAACCAAACCCUCAAAAAACAAAACAAGAGUGUUUGGUGUGGUUGGAACAAAACUUCAA